rnacentral:rRNA from 1 species
GACGAACGCUGGCGGCGUGCUUAACACAUGCAAGUCGAACGGAAAGGCCCUGCUUUUGUGGGGUGCUCGAGUGGCGAACGGGUGAGUAACACGUGAGUAACCUGCCCUUGACUUUGGGAUAACUUCAGGAAACUGGGGCUAAUACCGGAUAGGAGCUCCUGCUGCAUGGUGGGGGUUGGAAAGUUUGGGCGGUUGGGGAUGGACUCGCGGCUUAUCAGCUUGUUGGUGGGGUAGUGGCUUACCAAGGCUUUGACGGGUAGCCGGCCUGAGAGGGUGACCGGCCACAUUGGUACUGAGAUACGGACCAGACUCCUACGGUAGGCAGCAGUGGGGAAUAUUGCACAAUGGGCGGAAGCGUGAUGCAGCAGCGCCGGGGGCGGGAUGACGGCCUGCGGGUUGUAAACCGCAUUCGCCUGUGACGAAGCGUGAGUGACGGUAAUGGGUAAAGAAGCACCGGCUAACUACGUG